CUCCUUACAGAGCUAAGGCCUCAUGUCUCCUGAAGUGUCUGUGUUCUGAGGCAGUUAUCACCAGAGUAAGAAGAGGCCUGCAAAUGUUUUCAUCAAAGAAUACUGGCUGGACUAUAAUAGAGUUACCAUGGUAACUGUGCAGCCUCAUUUCUGAAAGCCUGAAGGAUGCUGGGAACCCUGGUGAUGCAUGAGUUGGGAUGGAGGUGAAAUCUUCACACAUCUCUCCAGUGUCACUUAUCAAGUACCAUCAGAAGGACAACAGCGAGGCCAGACAGUUGGAACAAUGACAAAUACCUGUUAGGAACCUGCUAUCACGACUUACACUCAGUUCUUCCAUACUACUCCACUGAGUCUUUCAUUUAAAGCCAAGAGAUACUGCUCUCUCUCAGGGUGAACUCAGAUGCUCCUCAGGCUUCAUCUCAUGCCCAGAAAUGGUUUACAAUGUCACCUUUUGAGUUCUUGGCAUCUUUUGACAACACUUGCCAAUGACUCUUGAAAAUGUUCCAGAUGAACAUGGGCAUGCUUCAAAUCUUGACAGCAAAAGCAUCGUGGAGAUCUACUCACUUAGCCUAAAGGAGUCAGACGAAUCCAUAAACAUAAAUAUCUUGUGUGUCUCCCAGAAGAAAGAAAGAAAAACAUAUGAAGGCAAAGAAAAACAAGAAUGAGGACAACGUAGUCUGCAGGGAGCAUUGGGGACCCAGGGAGAGUGGUAAAAGCUGUGCAUGGUUCCAAGUAAGCAUGGCGCUUCACAGGAUCUGUUUCUCCUCCCUGGCUUCCAAAGAGACCCAUGUGCUUCAUUCUAACGGCGCUUUUAGUGAAAGCAAGUAAGGACAAGCUUAGGUGACAGCUCUCAAGGCUGGGGACCUGGAGCACGCUGCACAGACUGCGGGAAGCUCAACAGUUUGGAGAGUGUCCUUUCCAGGUGCCUCACUUGCUCUAAACCUCUUCUAAUCAGACUGAGAGGACACUGAGAGCCAGAAACUGAUGGAGGAAAUAAGAAAUGUUUAGGGAGGAGAGAAUGAGGUGCCUUAACCUCUUCACCUUCUCGACUGUCUGUGAUGUGAGGAGGAGUGAAGUGAGGCGACACACGCCCGCUAACAGACUGCCUGAUAUAGGACAGGAGAGAAGAUAGAUUCAUCAAGGAAAGGAAUUGAAAAGGCCGUGAGAGAGCACAAUGAGACAAGAGGAUGAAGGCGAAACUGGCAUGCUAUUCGGUACUCACUGGAAAGGAAAUAAAGAGCUCUGCAGUGAGAACCUCAAAAGCUUUGUGACCUAACAAUGAGACCUGGGGGGAUGGCAGAGCUCCUGACUUGGGAGACAAACUCAGUAACAGAUACUUGGCAGAGUUCUGACUACUUUCGACUUGGGACAAAGGCAGAAGAAAUAGGAAGAAAGAAUUGCAGAGUGGUUUAUUAUGUCUGUGUCACAAAGGGGGCAGGAAACCACAACUUUGAAGACUUGAAGGAACUGGUUAAGGUAGCCCUGGGAGCCAGCAACGGUGCUAAGGUUGGGGAAAGUGAAGGCAGAUGAGAGCAGCUAGGACUGUAGAGUCGCCUAGAUGUCAAAGUCCCUCCUGUUAGGAGAAGCAUGCUGCAUGUGUGACUUUGAGAAGUCAGUUACACCGACACUGGAACUUUACAUGAAUGUUCAGGACCAAGCCAGAUACCAAAAAAGAAGCAACGGAAGAUGGGUGGAGAAGACUCAGUGUAGGCCCGGGGGUGAAUUUCCUUUCAGUUUUGGAAUCAACAAUGAUUUCUAGAUUCUCAUUAUUGUGUUUUGGUGUUGCACCCCAAAUGAAGUCGUUCUUUAACUAAAGAGGCAGUAAUUAUUAUGGA